AAUGCGCAGAUAUCAGGGGAACACCGGUGCGAAGGCGGGACUCUGGGCUGUAACUGACACUGAGGAGCGAAAGCAUGGGGAGCGAACAGGAUUAGAUACCCUGGUAGUCCACGCCGUAGCUAACGCAUUAAGUGCCCCGCCUGGGGAGUACGGUCGCAAGGCUAAAACUCAAAGAAUACGCCCGCACAAGCGGCGGAGCAUGCGGAUUAAUUCGAUGCAACGCGAAGAACCUUACCAAGGCUUGACAUACACGGACCGGAUUCUCAGGUGGUGCAUGGUUGUCGUCAGCUCGUGUCGUGAGAUGUUGGGUUAAGUCCCGCAACGAGCGCAACCCUCGUUCUAUGUUGCCAGGAUGGGAACUCAUAGGAGACUGCCGGGGUCAACUCGGAGGAAGGUGGGGAUGACGUCAAAUCAUCAUGCCCUUUAUGUCUUGGGCUUCACGCAUGCUACAAUGGCUGGU
rnacentral:rRNA from 1 species